rnacentral:lncRNA from 1 species
CCUAUCAGGUGUCACCUUGCAACCACUAUCAUUCCGAUUUAUCCUAGAUGCUGGUAGCGGGAAACAAUUGACGUUGCUGCUACCAACUGAUCUUUGCUGGAGAAGUCUUGUAAGCGGACUCAAGUAGCUAAAACCUGCUAAAAACAAUUUUUAAUAAACUAAGCUGAAAAAAUUCUGAGAACUUAUUUUUACUAAUAUAUGCCAGUCGUAUAUAGUGAAUAACCUGAAAAGUCUUCCUACAAAAGUAAUUUUUUUAUAUUUUUUUCAGGAAGUGUUUUCCUUCUCUCUCAUUUCUCUUUAUAAUUUUAAAACAAUAGACAUUGAUGUAGUAUACCUAAUGAUUACAAAUUGAAGUCUGUUUGGGGAAGCUAUCACUUUAAGAUUCACCCUAUUGUUAUACCAGGAAUACUCUGAGUUUUCUUGUCAAAUCCAUCCUCUG